rnacentral:rRNA from 1 species
CCUACGGGGGGCAGCAGUGAGGAAUAUUGGUCAAUGGACGAGAGUCUGAACCAGCCAAGUAGCGUGAAGGAUGACUGCCCUAUGGGUUGUAAACUUCUUUUAUAUGGGAAUAAAAUGUUCCACGUGUGGGAUUUUGUAUGUACCAUAUGAAUAAGGAUCGGCUAACUCCGUGCCAGCAGCCGCGGUAAUACGGAGGAUCCGAGCGUUAUCCGGAUUUAUUGGGUUUAAAGGGAGCGUAGGUGGAUUGUUAAGUCAGUUGUGAAAGUUUGCGGCUCAACCGUAAAAUUGCAGUUGAAACUGGCAGUCUUGAGUACAGUAGAGGUGGGCGGAAGUCGUGGUGUAGCGGUGAAAUGCUUAGAUAUCACGAAGAACUCCGAUUGCGAAGGCAGUUCACUGGACUGCAACUGACACUGAGGCUCGAAAGUGUGGAUAUCAAACAGGAUUAGAUACCCCAGUAGUC